rnacentral:rRNA from 1 species
GUCGAACGGUAGCACAGAGAGCUUGCUCUCGGGUGACGAGUGGCGGACGGGUGAGUAAUGUCUGGGAAACUGCCUGAUGGAGGGGGAUAACUACUGGAAACGGUAGCUAAUACCGCAUAAUGUCGCAAGACCAAAGAGGGGGACCUUCGGGCCUCUUGCCAUCAGAUGUGCCCAGAUGGGAUUAGCUAGUAGGUGGGGUAACGGCUCACCUAGGCGACGAUCCCUAGCUGGUCUGAGAGGAUGACCAGCCACACUGGAACUGAGACACGGUCCAGACUCCUACGGGAGGCAGCAGUGGGGAAUAUUGCACAAUGGGCGCAAGCCUGAUGCAGCCAUGCCGCGUGUAUGAAGAAGGCCUUCGGGUUGUAAAGUACUUUCAGCGGGGAGGAAGGUGUUGUGGUUAAUAACCACAGCAAUUGACGUUACCCGCAGAAGAAGCACCGGCUAACUCCGUGCCAGCAGCCGCGGUAAUACGGAGGGUGCAAGCGUUAAUCGGAAUUACUGGGCGUAAAGCGCACGCAGGCGGUCUGUCAAGUCGGAUGUGAAAUCCCCGGGCUCAACCUGGG